rnacentral:piRNA from 1 species
UGAGGGGUAAAUGCAUUCUAUCUGCAGAG